AACGAACGCUGGCGGCAUGCCUAACACAUGCAAGUCGAACGCCCGUAGCAAUACGGGAGUGGCAGACGGGUGCAUAACACGUGGGAACCUACCCUAGGGUUCGGAAUAACCGCGGGAAACUGCGGCUAAUACCGGAUACGUCCUCUGGGAGAGAGAUUUAUCGCCCUUGGAGGGGCCCGCGUCGGAUUAGCUAGUUGGUGAGGUAACGGCUCACCAAGGCGAUGAUCCGUAGCUGAUCUGAGAGGAUGAUCAGCCACACUGGAACUGAGACACGGUCCAGACUCCUGCGGGAGGCAGCAGUGGGGAAUAUUGGACAAUGGGCGCAAGCCUGAUCCAGCAAUGCCGCGUGGGUGAUGAAGGCCUUCGGGUUGUAAAGCCCUUUUGGCAGGGACGAUGAUGACGGUACCUGCAGAAUAAGCCCCGGCUAACUUCGUGCCAGCCGCCGCCGUAA
rnacentral:rRNA from 1 species